AUUGAACGCUGGCGGCAUGCUUUACACAUGCAAGUCGAACGGCAGCGCGGGCUUCGGCCUGGCGGCGAGUGGCGAACGGGUGAGUAAUACAUCGGAACGUGCCCAGUAGUGGGGGAUAGCUCGGCGAAAGCCGGAUUAAUACCGCAUACGACCUGAGAGUGAAAGCGGGGGAUCUUCGGUCCUCGCGCUAUUGGAGCGGCCGAUGGCAGAUUAGCUAGUUGGUGGGGUAAAGGCCUACCAAGGCGACGAUCUGUAGCUGGUCUGAGAGGACGACCAGCCACACUGGGACUGAGACACGGCCCAGACUCCUACGGGAGGCAGCAGUGGGGAAUUUUGGACAAUGGGCGAAAGCCUGAUCCAGCAAUGCCGCGUGUGUGAUGAAGGCCUUCGGGUUGUAAAGCACUUUUGGCGGGAACGAAAAGGACUGUGCCAAUACCACGGUUCGAUGACGGUACCCGCAGAAUAAGCACCGGCUAACUACGUG
rnacentral:rRNA from 1 species